rnacentral:rRNA from 1 species
CCUACGGGUGGCAGCAGUGGGGGAUAUUGCACAAUGGGGGGAACCCUGAUGCAGCGACGCCGCGUGGGUGAAGAAGCGCCUCGGCGCGUAAAGACCUGUCAGCAGGGAAGAAAAUGACGGUACCUUAAGAAGAAGCCCCGGCGAACGACGUGCCAGCAGCCGCGGUAAUACGUAGGGGGCAAGCGUGAGCCGGAUUUACUGGGUGUAACGGGGGCGCAGACGGCGAUGCAAGCCAGGAGUGAAAGCCCGGGGGCCAACCCCGGGACUGCUCUUGGAACUGCGUGGCUGGAGUGCAGGAGGGGCAGGCGGAAUUCCUGGUGUAGCGGUGAAAUGCGUAGAUAUCAGGAGGAACACCGGUGGCGAAGGCGGCCUGCUGGACUGCAACUGACGUUGAGGCCCGAAAGCGUGGGGAGCAAACAGGAUUAGAUACCCGUGUAGUC